rnacentral:lncRNA from 1 species
UGUCUUCACUUUGGAAGACAUGCCCCACAUCACUCAACCCUUAUAAAUCUUACCAAGGUGGAAGCCCCCUGAGUUUUUGUGGGAUUUUUAUCUCACCCUUAGGUAUACCAGUAUGUAACUAGUGUAUCUUAAGUAGUUGCUACUUCCUGCUCAGUAGGUUCAAUCAGCAAUCAGCAUUACAUCAUCCAUGUAAUAGACCAGCAAGAUGUGUGGUGGAAGAGAAAGACAAUCCAGGUCUCUGUAGAGUAAACUAUGAGAAUAGGACUGAAGAGUUGAUAGAUCCUUGAGGUAGGACAGUGAAAGUAUAUUGCUGGCCUUGCCAAUAGAAAGCAAACUUUUUAUGAUGAUACUUUCGAACACUUAUAGAGAAAAAAAAGCAUUUGCCACUAACUAGUUGCUCACCAGAUAACAAGAAAGUUGAUUUGUUCCUACAAAAAAAGGAAAUACACCUGAAGAUGGAGUCACGACCUGAUUAAAUGUAGAUAAUCCACUGUCAUUAUCUAAGAACAAUAUGUCUUCUGCAUGGGCCGAAUAGGUAAGUCGAAUGGAGAUGUGGUAGGGAUUGCCCCUGGAUUUUUCCAGACCUUGAUGUUGGCACCGAUAUUUGCAAUUCCUCCAGGAAUGCAGUAUUGUUUUUUGUUUAUUUUCCUGGAUAAAGGCAGCUCUAGUGACUUCCAUGUGGCUUUUUCUACCAUAUAGCUCCCACAUGACAGGCCAAGGAGCCAGUGUAAGGAUUCUGAAAAUUUCUGGUGUCUCUAUUCCAAUUAUGCAUUCCACAGUUGAGGAAAGAACCACACUAAGGUUUUGGGACACACUGGGUUCACUGUGAGACCUGAGCAAACUCCACUGAUGACUUGACCCCACUGAGCCCCUACUCUGAAUGGUAUACUAUGCUGAUUUUUUGGGUUACUAAGAAUUGUUCAAAGCCAGUAUUUGGGAAUCCCCCCAAAUUCUGAUUAUUUCCCCCUAUCUGAUGCACAAUCACACUGGUAAAUAGAUGCAGGUUCCCUUGAGAAACACUGGGAGAAAAAUUUACAUAUACUUUUGACAAUGUGAAAGGUUCUUCCUCAAGGAGAUCUGGACACUCUUCUACUCAAGGGGGCAUUCUGGGUCUGUGAACUGGCUGAGGGCUUCAAAUUGAUUGAAGGGGCAUGACUGUCUUGGUGAUUCAAGUCACACUUCUGUUUGCCGUGCCUAGAAGUAUUAUGCCUAGAGGUUUUCCACUUGGAUGAAGGCUUUAGUGGGCUUACCAUCUAUUUUACUUCUGGUUACACCAUAAUCAACUAGUGGACACCAAAUAUCUCUACAAGCCAAAUUACUCUAUUACUGCCUUGGCUCCACCAUCCAUUACAGUAACCACAUCCAUGCUUUUAACAAUUAAGUGUCAUACUUUGCCCCUGCUACCCUGGGAUCUCAGCAUCACCUUAGAAUUACAUCCCUACCUCAAAGCAACAAUUCUCCUUGUAGUUUUUGACUUAUUGAGGUCAGCCAUGGAAUUCUUCAAGGAACCUGGGGUUUGCCUGACAAAAGGGAUGUCCUCUGGACCUUCUGAGGUUGGUGAGCAAGUCUUACAUAAAUUUACCCUCUAACAUUCCAACCUUAAGCCUUUGGAUACUUUAUAGUGUACCAAGGAAAUUUGGUAUUUAAACUUCUUUACUGUAUAUCUGUAUUUUAGUCAACCAAAACAAAUAAUUAGAACCAUUGCUAGCUUCAAACUAAAACACUUUAAGUAUCAUAUGCUUAGUGGGCCCGUGUCAAUAAAUUAAGCUUGGGAGUUUGUUGUGGCACAGUGGUUAACGAAUCCGACUAGGAACCAUGAGGUUGCGGGUUCGAUCCCUGGCCUUGCUCAGUGGGUUAAGGAUCUGGCAAUGCCGUGAGCUGUAGUGUAGGUCGCAGACGUGGCUCGGAUCCCAUGUUUCUGUGGCUCUGGAGUAGGCUGGCGGCUACAGCUUCAAUUAGACCCCUAGCUUGGGAACCGCCAUAUGCCGCAGGAAACGGCCCUAGAAAAGACAAAAAGACAAUCAAUAAAUAAAGAAUUUAAGUUUGGUCCAAUUUUAUAUUUUUCUCACUCAGAUCUGAAACACAUUCCCCAGGUUUCCAUAAAAGUUGUAACAUUACACACUUCUUUUGGUAUCUUUGGCAUCUAUUGAGACUUAGUUCUGGUUUUAGGUGUAGAAGCAAGGAGAGGUAGUGGAAGUAGGUCUUGAAGAGGAUCAGAAGUUCUUUGCAAGACAGCUAUGACAGGGGAGGCCAUAAUAGGUUCUUAAGGCCAAGGAAGACUAAAGUUAGGGUUGGAAAGGCUGGUUCUAUUAGAAAGAAGGAAAAAAAAUAUGGAGUUCCCUUUGUGGCUCAGCCGUAAUGAACCCGACCAGUAAGGAAGAUGCAGGUUCAAUCCCUGCCUCACUCAGUGGGUUAAGGAUCUGGCAUUGCCAUGAGCUGUGGUGUAGAUCACAGACAAGGCUCAGAUCCCCCCGUUACUGAGGCUGUAGCAUAGGCCGCAGCUAGCUCCGAUUCAGCCCCUAGCCUGGAACUUCCAAAUGCUGCAAGUACGGCCCUAAAAAAGCAAACAAACUCCUCAGGUCUAUUUAAAUCUGCUGUUUCCCCAUCCCAGUUUUCAGAAUCCUGUUCAUUACCAGUCAAUGCCCUGUUUUUUUUUGUUUUGUUUUGUUUUUGCCCUGGUUUUAAUGAGAUAGGAGACACUAUAAGGUUGGAAAUUCAAUUUACAUAGUAAUUAAGCCACCCAAAGGAUUUAUCAUUGGGUUUGGUUUUCAUAAAUCUUAGCCCUGCAGCUUUAGGAGACCAGCUGCUUUCAGGAUUAUCAGAGAAGCUCUAAGGUCCCCUAUGUGGAUCUUACACAGGGAAUUUAAAUACCUGAGCUUCUCAUGUUCUUUCCCUGAGCUCUUCAGCACAUUUAGAAGUGAAUAGCCAAUCCCAUUAUACUCGUUAUGCUCAUUAAAGUAUCUAGUGAAACAAAUACUGGGUUCCCCAAAGCUUUGCUUUCUAUAGGCACUUGACUAUAGGCAUCUAAAGGAAAUCAUUUGAGUAACUAUUGCCACUGCAUGUCAUAGACUGCCAGUGCCCUUUUGCAACUGAAACAGAGUCAUUAAUGGUUUUAAGUCUAUUCUAAUCAGAUUCUAGAAUCUAAUCACAAAAAUCCAGAUGCAAUUCAGAGGAACCAAAUCUGACUUGGUACAAAUUGAUGAUUCAGGCAGGAUUUAAUUAGAGGCACAGAACCAUAAGAAGAGUGUGUAUGUAUAAAGGGAUUUAUUACAGGGCUUUGGCCUUAUACAAUGGUGGGAAGUGGUUAAACAGUCUCUUUAAGGUUGUUGUCUUCAUGUCCAAUGAAGGCACUUGAAGUCCAUAGGGCAGACAAUAAGGAAAGGAAGGUGGAUGUGAUAUACAAGAGAGGAAAAAAAAAAAACAACAAAAACCUUUAUAACUCACAACCAUGAGUAGAGCCAAAGAGGAUGGGUUAAAACAAAGUCAGUUCUCAUUGCCUCUGACCUUGAUGUGUGGUGUCCUACAGAAGCUGGGGCCCUUAGUCACAGAGGUAGUCACACAUGUAUUGGAGAAGCUGAAGGAUCCAUGAGUUCCCAUCGUGGCGCAGUGGUUAAUGAAUCCGACUAGGAACCAUGAGGUUGUGGGUUCGAUCCCUGCCCUUGCUCAGUGGGUUAAUGAUCCGGCGUUGCCGUGAGCUGUGGUGUAGGUUGCAGACGCGGCUCGGAUCCCGAGUUGCUGUGUCUCUGGCAUAGGCUGGCGGCUACAGCUCCGAUUAGACCCCUCCAUAUGCUGUGGGAGCAGCCCAAGAAAUAG